GACGAACGCUGGCGGCGUGCUUAACACAUGCAAGUCGAACGGAAAGGCCCUGCUUGCAGGGUACUCGAGUGGCGAACGGGUGAGUAACACGUGGGUGAUCUGCCCUGCACUUCGGGAUAAGCCUGGGAAACUGGGUCUAAUACCGGAUAGGAGCCAUUUUUAGUGUGAUGGUUGGAAAGUUUUUUCGGUGUAGGAUGAGCUCGCGGCCUAUCAGCUUGUUGGUGGGGUAAUGGCCUACCAAGGCGGCGACGGGUAGCCGGCCUGGGAGGGUGGACGGCCACAUUGGGACUGAGAUACGGCCCAGACUCCUACGGGAGGCAGCAGUGGGGAAUAUUGCACAAUGGGCGCAAGCCUGAUGCAGCGACGCCGCGUGGGGGAUGACGGCCUUCGGGUUGUAAACACCUUUCGCUAGGGACGAAGCUUUUUGUGACGGUACCUAGAUAAGAAGCACCGGCUAACUACGUG
rnacentral:rRNA from 1 species